CAUGCAUUCUCUGUAAAGCUGCUUUGAAACGAUAUGUAUUGUGAAAAGCGCUAUACAAAUAAAUGUGAAUUGAAUUGAAUAACUUAUUUAGAUUCCUUUUAAUCCUGUAUAUAUGUCAAAACUGUAUUUGUAAACUGAAUAUCACAAGUGGUAAACAGAGUAAAGCAAAAUCCAUCAGCUGCAUAAGUUUAAACUGUGUGUUAAUGAUGAAACAACGUCACAAUUGUUCGUUAAUGGGGAGCCCAGGUGAUGCAAAUCUGUGCCAAUGCUCAUUUUUAAAAUGCCUGGUUGCACUUUCAGACUGAAUGGUUGAACCUGUGGCCAAAAUGGUUUCUUUUAAACUCAUUAUUUUAUUGUAUCUGUAUCAUUCAUGUAGUGAAGUUUUCUGUUCCCCAAUCGAACGUGAUUUGCAUGUGUCUGACUGGAGUGAUGCUGGGAAUGUACUACAAGAAAACAAAGGACAUACUGAACAUGACAACUCAAACCAUUUUGAGAAGUCUAAUUCUGAAAUGGAGAAACCAAGUUUUAACUCAUCUGAGAAGUCCAGCUCUCACCCUGAGAAAUCUAGUGCUCCCAUGG